rnacentral:lncRNA from 1 species
AUCAUCUAUAUCUAUAUAUUAUUUUUUCUAAAUUUAUGGCACGGUAAUAUUUUUUUCAUUAUUGGAUAUGGACUCCACACCGAACCGGCUUUAACUCCUCCAUAUAUUUUUUUCUUUCUUGUUUGAAUCGAACCGAAUUUUUUUUCUUUCUUUACUUGAAUCGCACCAAUCGUUGUCAAGUUCUUCAUAUAUUUUUUUCUCUUUUUUGCUUAAAUCAAAUUAGGUUUCUCUUUAUUUUUUUGCUUAAACAAAAUCGGAUCACAUCUCAGUAUUGGACUGAAUUAUUUCUCUUCCACUUUUUUCGGCUGUUAUCUUUCUUCAUUAGUAAGAUAAAUUUUAUCUCUUAUCGUCGCUUUUUCUAUCGCUAUUUUUUCUUCCUUUAUCAUCAUUUUUUAUUUUUUUUUAAAUUGUCUAUCCGUCGUAUCGCACGAAUUACUAUACUAAUUCAACAAAACUUUAUAAUUUUUUUCUAAUAAAGAAAUGCAAUUCUGAUU